AAAUUCAAUUCAAAUAAAUAAAAUACCUUCAAUAUAGAACAAUGUUAAAUAAAAAUUUUAAUCAAUUUUCACAAAAUUUACAAGUACAACUUUAAAAAUAGAAGAUAACAAUGUCUCAGCAUUGCCUAUCAACAGGCGUCCUGGCCCCUGUAAAAUAUCAACCAUGUAAAUACAACAAAUUUUGAGUGAGGGGAUUUUUAUUGACAACGUGACGAGGUGUCGUCUGCUAUAAAAGCAAAAUAUAUACAAUAAAUUAAAAAUGGCGGUAUUUACUGAAGCAAUGUCAUCUUCUCGAUGUAUUUUUGCAAUUUUAUCAAGAAAUUAUAAAUUCACGGCACCACAAUCAUGUACAAGUGUUAGAAACAUACAUUCAACAUUAAAUGACAAUAGUGAAAAUUAUGAUAUUAUUGUUACUGGAGGUGGUCUUGUGGGAACAACGCUUGCCUGUGCUUUAGCUAAUAAUAAAAUUCUCAAAUCAAAAAGCAUUUUAUUGCUAGAAGGUGGAAAUAAACAUGAAUAUAAACCAAGUGAACAAUAUUCAAAUAGAGUUGUUGCAUUAAAUCAAUUAUCUCGAACAUUAUUAUCAAGUAUUGGAGCAUGGAAACACGUGUCAGAAAUUCGUUACGCACCUGUGAGAAAAAUGCAGGUGUGGGAUAGUUGUUCCGAUGCAAUGAUAACAUUCAAUGAAGAUUAUUUAUCAGAUGAAAUAGCGUACAUUGUGGAAAAUGAUUUACUUUUAUACGCCGUGAAUAAACAAUUGGAGGAAAAAAAUUCUGUUCGUGUUAUUUAUAAUGCAAAAGUUGAGAAUAUUUCAUUGCCCGAGACAUCUGGAGAAAAUGCAAUUGUUAUCUUACAAAAUGGAGGAAAUUUUGGCACUAAAUUAUUGAUUGGCGCUGAUGGAAUAAAUUCGCGAGUUCGACAAGCAAUGGGUGUUCAACACGUUAAAUGGAGUUACAAUCAAAUGGGAAUUGUUGGUACGGUGGAAUUAUCAGAGCCCACUGAAAAUAUCGUUGCAUGGCAACGAUUUCUUCCCACUGGACCCAUCGCUUUAUUGCCCUUAACUGAAAGUUUGAGCUCAUUAGUAUGGUCAACAUCAACGGAUGAGGCAAAGAAACUUUUAAAAUUAUCCGAUGAGGCAUUUGUUGAUAAUUUAAAUGAAGCACUUUGGAAAGUUUAUCCAAAAGAUGGAACUGUUGAAAGUGGAAUGAAGGCGUUACAGCAAAUUUUGAAAAAUUUACAAUUAGAAACCGGUGUAUCUAGACAAUUACAGCCAUCAAUUUCUGGUAUUGUUGAAGAAUCACGAGCAGCGUUUCCUUUAGGUUUUGCGCAUUCUGUUUAUUAUGUGAAACCAGGAGUUGCCUUAGUAGGAGAUGCAGCGCACAGGGUUCAUCCUUUAGGUGGUCAAGGAUUAAAUUUGGGUUUAGGGGAUGUUAUGGUGUUAGUUCAAAUGUUGGCGGAUGCUGCAAAAAAUGGAGCCCUCCCUGGCGACAUGACUUAUUUAAAAAAAUACGAAACUGCACGACAAAGGCACAAUGUUCCAACUAUGUUGGCAAUGGAUGCCCUUCAUAGAUUAUAUAAAGGAACCGCUGCUCCAAUUGUUCUCGCACGAAGUUUAGGAUUACAACUCACAAAUGCAAUUUCUCCAUUAAAGAAAUAGCACUUCAUGCAACACAAUAAAUUCAAGUCAAUGAAGAUAAAUCUUAAUUUAUUCAAGAAGCAAAAUAUUUGAUUUAAGAAGAAUAUAAGUAGAGCAAUUUUUCAUCACGCGUCUGACGAUGAUAAUAAUUUGUGUCAAUAAAAAAGAAAAAGGAUCGAAGCAAUAAUUCCAAAAUUGACAUUAAAAAAUUGUCAAUUUUUUUUUCUUACGGUGCAAGAAAAUAUUAAUAUCAAUUUAAUAUUUCUUAAAAAAAAAAACAAAUUGAUAUUAUUAAUAUUACAUUUUUUAGAUUAUUUGUAAAACAUCAACAAAAAGAAAUAUGUGAUCUAAGUUAAUUUAUUGUAUAUAAAUUUAUUUAUAAACUCCGUUAUUUCAGAAUAUGAAAAUGUAUUCCGAUUUACAAAUAAAAAAAAUCGUAACUUAA